rnacentral:lncRNA from 1 species
AAGAGGAACCUGAACAAGAGGAUAAAGGAGCAUGUGUCUAGCAUAAAGGAGGGUAGGAUGGAUACUGCACUAAGUAUAAAGGCCUACGAAGGGGACAUCGACAUCAAAUGGAACCAGGCAUGUGUAGUGAAACCGGUUCGUGAUCCUACUGGCAUACAUGUACUUGAAGCUAUACAAAUAGAAAAAAGAAGAUCUCUACUUAAUAUCAUUAAUGAUAACGAGCCGACUAUGCUACCAUCGUCUUGGAAAUGGUGUGCCCGUUAUGCAGUAUAGACCGUGAUAACAAGUUUGAUUACUGUACGAAUGUGGAUGGACUGUGGGUC